CCUACGGGUGGCAGCAGUAGGGAAUAUUGCUCAAUGGGGGAAACCCUGAAGCAGCAACGCCGCGUGGAGGAUGAAGGUUUUCGGAUUGUAAACUCCUUUUGUUAGAGAAGAUAAUGACGGUAUCUAACGAGUAAGCACCGGCUACCUCCGAGCCAGAAGCCGCGGUACUACGGAGGGUGCAAGCGUUACUCGGAAUAACUGGGCGUAAAGAGCGCGUAGGCGGGAUAGCAAGUCAGAUGUGAAAUCCUAUGGUUUAACCAUAGAACUGCAUUUGAAACUGUUAUUCUAGAGUAUGGGAGAGGUAAGUGGAAUUCUUGGUGUAGGGGUAAAAUCCGUAGAGAUCAAGAGGAAUACUCAUUGCGAAGGCGACCUGCUAGAACAUAACUGACGCUGAUGCGCGAAAGCGUGGGGAGCAAACAGGAUUAGAUACCCUAGUAGUC
rnacentral:rRNA from 1 species